GUGUCGGCAGCUGGUGAGUGUCUUUUGCAAUUCAUCAGAGGCCUCCCAGACCACCUGCUCUCGGCAUCCUGCAAACAGCUGGCUCUGGUUCUAGGAAUGGUGGGAAGCCUUCCAGAACCCAAGUUCCCAGAUGCCAACCCAGGGCCAACCUUGUAAGCCAAGGCUUUCAAAGGAUACCAGUCGCACUUUGGGAGCCUGGAGCAAGACCUGGUACAAUCCGCAGUGCUACCUGGCCAGAUGAUCCAGCAGAGAGUCUGUGGCAGGGGGAAAAAAACACCAUGCACUAAGUUUCCAGGUUGGCAGUGCUGCUGGGCACAACUCAAUUCUGUUGGGCUCCCUGAGUCUUCUCAUUCUAUGUCCUAAGAUGUAGAUGCAGUCACUCUCUGGGGCUUCUUAUGCAAGGGGGCAGAACUCAGUGGAAAAGCCAAACUCAAAGUGUUUCUUAAAAUCCCUGCUCAACUGGGUGUUGUAUGGAAACCAAUUUGACAAUAAAUUUCAUAUAUAAAAAAAUAAAAUAAAAUAAAAUAAAAUCCCUGCUCAAAACUGGCUGCUGUUAUU